rnacentral:rRNA from 1 species
GCUCGCGUCGUGAGAUGCUGGGUUAAGUCCCGCAACGAGCGCAACCCUUAAGCUUAGUUGCCAGCAUUAAGUUGGGCACUCUAAGUUGACUGCCGGUGACAAACCGGAGGAAGGGGGGGAUGACGUCAAAUCAUCAUGCCCCUUAUGAUUUGGGCUACACACGUGCUACAAUGGACAAUACAAAGGGCAGGUAAACCGCGAGGUCAUGCAAAUCCCAUAAAGUUGUUCUCAGUUCGGAUUGUAGUCUGCAACUAGACUACAUGAAGCCGGAAUCGCUAGUAAUCGUAGAUCAGCAUGAUACGGUGAAUACGUUCCCGGGUCUUGUACACACCGCCCGUCACACCACGAGAGUUUGUAACACCCGAAGCCGGUGGAGUAACCAUUUAUGGAGCUAGCCGUCGAAGGUGGGACAAAUGAUUGGGGUGAAGUCGUAACAAGGUAGCCGUAUCGGAAGGUGCGGCCGGAUCACCUCU